UACAGAGGUCUCAAGCGUUGUUCGGAUUCAUUGGGCGUAAAGGGUGCGUAGGUGGCGCCGUAAGUCGGGUGUGAAAUUUCGGAGCUUAACUCCGAAACUGCAUUCGAUACUGCGGUGCUUGAGGGCUGGAGAGGAGACUGGAAUUCAUGGUGUAGCAGUGAAAUGCGUAGAGAUCAUGAGGAAGACCAGUGGCGAAGGCGGGGCUCUGGACAGUUCCUGACACUGAGGCACGAAGGCCAGGGGAGCAAACGGG
rnacentral:rRNA from 1 species